rnacentral:miRNA from 1 species
ACCUAUGUUGUUAAAAGAACUUGCAAAAGUAUCUUUUGCAAGUUCUUUUAACAACAUAGGU